GGGGAUGUAGCUCAGUGGUGGAGCAUCUGCCUAGCAGGCAUAAGGCCCUGAGUUCAAUCCCCAGCACCACCA
rnacentral:tRNA from 1 species